rnacentral:tRNA from 1 species
AAAGAUCUAGUUAAAUAAUAACAUAAAAAUGUCAUUUUUAAAUUACAACAAUAGUGAUCUUUA